GACGAACGCUGGCGGCGUGCUUAACACAUGCAAGUCGAACGGAAAGGCCCUGCUUGUGUGGGGUGCUCGAGUGGCGAACGGGUGAGUAACACGUGAGUAACCUGCCCUUGACUUUGGGAUAACUUCAGGAAACUGGGGCUAAUACCGGAUAGGAGCUCCUGCUGCAUGGUGGGGGUUGGAAAGUUUCGGCGGUUGGGGAUGGACUCGCGGCUUAUCAGCUUGUUGGUGGGGUAGUGGCUUACCAAGGCUUUGACGGGUAGCCGGCCUGAGAGGGUGACCGGCCACAUUGGGCCUGAGAGACGGCCCAGACUCCUACGGGGGGCAGAAGUGGGGAAUAUUGCACAAUGGGCGGACGCCUGAUGCGGAAACGCCGCGUGCGGGAUGACGGCCUUCGGGUUGUAAACCGCUUUCGCCUGUGACGAAGCGUGAGUGACGGUAAUGGGUAAAGAAGCACCGGCUAACUACGUG
rnacentral:rRNA from 1 species